rnacentral:rRNA from 1 species
AGUGAACGCUGGCGGUAGGCCUAACACAUGCAAGUCGAACGGCAGCACAGUAAGAGCUUGCUCUUACGGGUGGCGAGUGGCGGACGGGUGAGGAAUACAUCGGAAUCUACUUUUUCGUGGGGGAUCACGUAGGGAAACUUACGCUAAUACCGCAUACGACCUACGGGUGAAAGCAGGGGAUCUUCGGACCUUGCGCGAUUGAAUGAGCCGAUGUCGGAUUAGCUAGUUGGCGGGGUAAAGGCCCACCAAGGCGACGAUCCGUAGCUGGUCUGAGAGGAUGGUCAGCCACACUGGGACUGAGACACGGUCCAGACUCCUACGGGAGGCAGCAGUGGGGAAUAUUUGACAAUGGUCGCAAGCCUGAUCCAGCCAUACCGCGUGGGUGAAGAAGGCCUUCGGGUUGUAAAGCCCUUUUGUUGGGAAAGAAAAGCAGCAGGUUAAUACCACGCUGUUCUGACGGUACCCAAAGAAUAAGCACCGGCUAACUUCGUG